UUCUUUCACGCAAACAGAAGCUCCUCCGUCCGCAACUAUCCUCCGCCCGCAAUUUUAAUUUAGAUUAUUAAGCAUUCAAAAAGUAUGUGUAUGCGACUCUUAUUUGGUGCCUGGUGCCACGGUGGCUACCUUACUAAUGCUUGGUGCACUUCAUGCUCGUUGGCUAUAUGAUGAUAAGAAGUAACAAAAAUAGGAAGAAUCGAUUUGUGAUCGACGUUCUGAAAUGGGUACUAAAUAAAAGGUUGGGCACAAUCUCUGGACACUGCUUUGAUACUCUACUUUUUCUAGAUGCUAUGGAACCAAAUACUCUGUCAACAAGGAUGAGCUACUUCAAAUGGUGAGGUUUGGUGCUGAGAUGGUUUGCAGUUCCAAAGAUAGCACCAUCACAGACGAGGACAUUGACAAAAUCAUUGUUAAGGGAGAAGCAACAACUGCAGAGCUUGAUGCAAAGAUGAAGAAAUUUACAGAAGAUGUCAUUAAAUUUAAAAUGGAUGGAAGUGUGUAACAUCCUGACAUAAACUGACUAUUAUCCUCUUUCUGUUUGUUAAUUUUCUGCUUUCUUUCAAAUAUUUGAGUAACUAGUUUUCACUAAUGUUUAUGUGUGGUCUUGGCAGCUGCUGAAUUGUACGAUUUUGAUGAU